rnacentral:rRNA from 1 species
GUACACUCCUACGGGAGGCAGCAGUGGGGAAUAUUGAACAAUGGGCGCAAGCCUGAUCCAGCCAUGCCGCGUGAGUGAUGAAGGCCCUAGGGUUGUAAAGCUCUUUCACCGGUGAAGAUAAUGACGGUAACCGGAGAAGAAGCCCCGGCUAACUUCGUGCCAGCAGCCGCGGUAAUACGAAGGGGGCUAGCGUUGUUCGGAUUUACUGGGCGUAAAGCGCACGUAGGCGGACUAUUAAGUCAGGGGUGAAAUCCCGGGGCUCAACCCCGGAACUGCCUUUGAUACUGGUAGUCUUGAGUUCGAGAGAGGUGAGUGGAAUUCCGAGUGUAGAGGUGAAAUUCGUAGAUAUUCGGAGGAACACCAGUGGCGAAGGCGGCUCACUGGCUCGAUACUGACGCUGAGGUGCGAAAGCGUGGGGAGCAAACAGGAUUAGAAACCCCUGUAGUCCCAU